CGUCUAGGCGGUCGGGUAAGUCACCUGUGAAAGCCCUCGGCUCAACCGGGGAAGGUCGGGUGAUACUGCUUGACUUGGGUGUAGGAGAGGGAAGUGGAACUCACAGAGUAGCGGUGGAAUGCGUAGAUACUGUGAGGUACCCCGAUGGCGAAGGCAACUUCCUGGCCUACUACCGACGCUGAAGCGCGAAAGCGUGGGGAGCAAAGG
rnacentral:rRNA from 1 species